AAGGUAGAACACUUUGUUUUGAAAUCAUAGUAAAUGUUUUUUCUUGCAGGCUUUCAUUCUAAAAGCCACAUGUAAGACCUCUCUCUCUCUCUCUCUUCAGAUUAAGAAUCCUUCUGGCACAAGGCACUUGAGUUUGGACCUUAAAUCUAUCCCAUUACCUCUCCUUUUUAAAGCAAACAUGAGGUAGCUUUUGCAUUAAGUGCCAAUGACCAGCUUGCCUUUGAAGAUUUGAAUAGCAUCAGGUACAUUCCUUUUUCAUUGCAGUACUUCUGAAACUCCCCGUACUACACAAAGAAGCAGAAGCAAAACUUUUUUCUGGCCUUUUGGUGCUUCUUUUUGUCUGCACCAGGACUUCCACAGUGACAGUGACCACGAGCACAAUAAUUUCUCCCUGUCCUGGAUCUGCUUUCAUAUUAAAAGGAGCUAAUGGCACUGACAACUCCAGAUAUCUCAACACAUUAUUUGGUGUGUUACAGCGGACAAUUAACUCUCAAGACCUCUAGGCAUCCUCUUGACUACAGAGACACUGUGUCUCCUUAAGUUGUUUUUCUGCUGCCCUUGAAAGAGACAGGCUUGCCAACCACUCACCUGAUCGUGCAAAUGCAUAGCUAGUGCACUUCAGAAAGUGUGACCUUUUAGUAUUAGAAAAGAAGAACUGUUGAUAGAUUGUGCCAUUUACUCCUCUUUCACAUGGCAGCAGACAACAGGAGCAUCACUAUAUUGAUAUGAACAUGCUUGCCUCAAAUUCACCGGUCUAAAUAAGGAGAAAUAGAACUAAAUUUCCCAGUGUCUGCCUGUGGCACAACAAGGACAUACUUCCUCAGAAUAUGGAAUUCUGAGCAAAAUACCAAAAUCCAAAGCUCAAACACAAGGAGUCAUGUAACACAGAAUCAGUAGAAUUUAUGGCAGUUUACAAUACAUUUUCAAAUAGCUAAUCUUGUGAUGGAUGUUUUAUUCCUGGUGUUUACUGGUAACCAUUGUUGUUAAAUACUAUCAUCAAAAGCCAUUGAUAUAGUGCAAUAAAAAGAAGUAACCUCACUAUGGUAUGUAGGCA
rnacentral:lncRNA from 1 species